rnacentral:rRNA from 1 species
UACGUAGGGGGCAAGCGUUGUCCGGAAUCAUUGGGCGUAAAGAGCGCGUAGGCGGCCCGGUAAGUCCGCUGUGAAAGUCAAGGGCUCAACCCUUGAAUGCCGGUGGAUACUGUCGGGCUAGAGUCCGGAAGAGGCGAGUGGAAUUCCUGGUGUAGCGGUGAAAUGCGCAGAUAUCGGGAGGAACACCAAUGGCGAAGGCAGCUCGCUGGGACGGUACUGACGCUGAGGCGCGAAAGCGUGGGGAGCGAACAGG